rnacentral:rRNA from 1 species
GUUGGUGGUUAAUACCCAUCAGCCCUGACGUUACCUACAGAAGAAGCACCGGCUAACUCCGUGCCAGCAGCCGCGGUAAUACGGAGGGUGCGAGCGUUAAUCGGAAUUACUGGGCGUAAAGCGUACGUAGGCUGUUACUUAAGCUAGAUGUGAAAGCCCCGGGCUCAACCUGGGAACUGCAUUUAGAACUGAGUAGCUAGAAUGUGUGAGAGGUAAGUGGAAUUUCCAGUGUAGCGGUGAAAUGCGUAGAGAUUGGAAAGAACACCAGUGGCGAAGGCGACUUACUGGCAUAACAUUGACGCUGAGGUACGAAAGCGUGGGUAGCAAACAGGAUUAGAUACCCUGGUAG